rnacentral:tRNA from 1 species
GGAGAGGUGGCCGAGUGGCUGAAGGCACUCGCCUGCUAAGCGAGUAUGGGGCGGCAAGCUCCAUCGCGGGUUCGAAUCCCGCCCUCUCCG